UCCAUGGAAGACUACUGGUCAGGCCAUGGUGCUCUCACCGCUGAGGCCUGGGUUCAAUUCCCAGCCAGGGAA